rnacentral:rRNA from 1 species
UAGGGAAUCUUCGGCAAUGGGGGGAACCCUGACCGAGCGACGCCGCGUGAGUGAAGAAGGUUUUCGGAUCGUAAAGCUCUGUUGUUAAGGAAGAACGAGUGUGAGAAUGGAAAGUUCAUGCUGUGACGGUACUUAACCAGAAAGGGACGGCUAACUACGUGCCAGCAGCCGCGGUAAUACGUAGGUCCCGAGCGUUGUCCGGAUUUAUUGGGCGUAAAGCGAGCGCAGGCGGUUAGAAAAGUCUGAAGUGAAAGGCAGUGGCUCAACCAUUGUAGGCUUUGGAAACUGUUUAACUUGAGUGCAGAAGGGGAGAGUGGAAUUCCAUGUGUAGCGGUGAAAUGCGUAGAUAUAUGGAGGAACACCGGUGGCGAAAGCGGCUCUCUGGUCUGUAACUGACGCUGAGGCUCGAAAGCGUGGGGAGCGAACAGG